rnacentral:rRNA from 1 species
UUAACACAUGCAAGUCGAACGAUGAAGCCUUUCGGGGUGGAUUAGUGGCGAACGGGUGAGUAACACGUGGGCAAUCUGCCCUUCACUCUGGGACAAGCCCUGGAAACGGGGUCUAAUACCGGAUAACACUCUGUCCUGCAUGGGACGGGGUUAAAAGCUCCGGCGGUGAAGGAUGAGCCCGCGGCCUAUCAGCUUGUUGGUGGGGUAAUGGCCUACCAAGGCGACGACGGGUAGCCGGCCUGAGAGGGCGACCGGCCACACUGGGACUGAGACACGGCCCAGACUCCUACGGGAGGCAGCAGUGGGGAAUAUUGCACAAUGGGCGAAAGCCUGAUGCAGCGACGCCGCGUGAGGGAUGACGGCCUUCGGGUUGUAAACCUCUUUCAGCAGGGAAGAAGCGAAAGUGACGGUACCUGCAGAAGAAGCGCCGGCUAACUACGUGCCAGCAGCCGCGGUAAUACGUAGGGCGCAAGCGUUGUCCGGAAUUAUUGGGCGUAAAGAGCUCGUAGGCGGCUUGUCACGUCGGAUGUGAAAGCCCGGGGCUUAACCCCGGGUCUGCAUUCGAUACGGGCUAGCUAGAGUGUGGUAGGGGAGAUCGGAAUUCCUGGUGUAGCGGUGAAAUGCGCAGAUAUCAGGAGGAACACCGGUGGCGAAGGCGGAUCUCUGGGCCAUUACUGACGCUGAGGAGCGAAAGCGUGGGGAGCGAACAGGAUUAGAUACCCUGGUAGUCCACGCCGUAAACGUUGGGAACUAGGUG